rnacentral:rRNA from 1 species
CCUACGGGGGGCAGCAGUGGGGAAUAUUGCACAAUGGGGGAAACCCUGAUGCAGCGACGCCGCGUGAGCGAGGAAGUAUUUCGGUAUGUAAAGCUCUGUCAGCAGGGAAGAAGAAUGACGGUACCUGAAGAAGAAGCACCGGCUAAAUACGUGCCAGCAGCCGCGGUAAUACGUAUGGUGCAAGCGUUAUCCGGAUUUACUGGGUGUAAAGGGAGCGCAGGCGGUUCUGCAAGUCUGAUGUGAAAGCCCGGGGCUCAACCGCGGGACUGCAUUGGAAACUGCGGGACUGGAGUGUCGGAGGGGUG